rnacentral:rRNA from 1 species
AGUGAACGCUGGCGGUAGGCCUAACACAUGCAAGUCGAACGGCAGCACAGUAAGAGCUUGCUCUUACGGGUGGCGAGUGGCGGACGGGUGAGGAAUACAUCGGAAUCUACUUUUUCGUGGGGGAUAACGUAGGGAAACUUACGCUAAUACCGCAUACGACCUACGGGUGAAAGCAGGGGAUCUUCGGAACUUGCGCGAUUGAAUGAGCCGAUGUCGGAUUAGCUAGCUGGCGGGGUAAAGGCCCACCAAGGCGACGAUCCGUAGCUGGUCUGAGAGGAUGAUCAGCCACACUGGAACUGAGACACGGUCCAGACUCCUACGGGAGGCAGCAGUGGGGAAUAUUGGACAAUGGGCGCAAGCCUGAUCCAGCCAUACCGCGUGGGUGAAGAAGGCCUUCGGGUUGUAAAGCCCUUUUGUUGGGAAAGAAAAGCAGCAGGUUAAUACCCCGCUGUUCUGACGGUACCCAAAGAAUAAGCACCGGCUAACUUCGUG